GCCGACGUAGCUCAUCUGGUAGAGCAACUGUAUCGUAAACAGUAGGUGGUCAGUUCAAGUCUGACCGUCGGCU
rnacentral:tRNA from 3 species